UACGUUGGGUGCGAGCGUUGUCCGGAAUUAUUGGGCGUAAAGAGCUCGUAGGCGGCCUGUUGCGUCUGCUGUGAAAGCCCGGGGCUUAACCCCGGGUCUGCAGUGGAUACGGGCAGGCUAGAGUUCGGCAGGGGAGACUGGAAUUCCUGGUGUAGCGGUGAAAUGCGCAGAUAUCAGGAGGAACACCGGUGGCGAAGGCGGGUCUCUGGGCCGAUACUGACGCUGAGGAGCGAAAGCGUGGGGAGCGAACAGG
rnacentral:rRNA from 1 species